ACCAUGUCUCCACACGACUAAACAUCUCUUAUGCUUGGUAUUGGUUAUGUGGUGUAUCUUUUGCCAGCUGUAUUGCCACUAAAAUACUUGUAUGGGCAUCCAGCUCAUCUUAUGCAUUGUGGUCUUUCCUUUGAUUGAAAAUUUUAAAUGCUGGCACUUCUGUUCAGGAUAAAGGCAGUCAUUGAUUCAUGAUUAGGUUCAUAAAAAAGUAAAUCAUAAUCAUUUUCUAGAGAAAUAGAGAUCUAUACGUAGUAGCUAGUUUCAGAACCAACAGUUUCCCCCUAAAAGAUGCUAACUCUAUCGUAUUCUCAAAUUUUUUUCUAGCAUUGCCAAAUUUACUUUCUCAUUUCUCUGCGUACAGAAAAGAAUCCGACUUCCUUUUAGUUUCUUGACAGACUUCCAUGGCUAAAUUAAUUUCAAAUACCCAAAUUAGCUUUCGUGGACUUCGCCAAGUUCAUUUUUGGUAUGUUGCUCAGUCAAUCUUCAGCCUUGAUUAAAAUGGCAAUGGCAUUCUCCAAAACCUACCAUAUUCAGAAACCUGGCACCCUGCGGGAUUUCCAGAAUUUCGGUGAAACUGGUUUCUGUAACAUUGUUAGCCAACCACACUGAGCACACUGGGCAGUGUGUGGCAACUCUUUAUUAUGUAUUCGCAUGUGCGGCUAUAGUUGGUACAUUCAAGUGUUUGGUAGUGGUGUCCUUAGCAGCCAACAGUUGGUGGCUGCACAAUGACAUAAAUUUGGGUUAAAUGGGCAAAGCAAA